UACGAAGGGGGCGAGCGUUGUUCGGAAUUACUGGGCGUAAAGGGCGCGUAGGCGGCGACCCAAGUCAGAUGUGAAAGUCCUGGGCUUAACCUGGGGACUGCAUUUGAUACUGGGUUGCUUGAAUUCGGGAGAGGAUAGCGGAAUUCCCAGUGUAGAGGUGAAAUUCGUAGAUAUUCGCAAGAACACCAGUGGCGAAGGCGGCUCACUGGCCCGGUACUGACGCUGAGGUGCGAAAGCGUGGGGAGCAAACAGG
rnacentral:rRNA from 1 species